UUGAACGCUGGCGGCAUGCCUUACACAUGCAAGUCGAACGGCAGCGGGCCCUUCGGGGUGCCGGCGAGUGGCGAACGGGUGAGUAAUGCAUCGGAACGUACCCGGGAGAGGGGGAUAACCGGCCGAAAGGCUGGCUAAUACCGCAUGAACUCGGAAGAGCAAAGCGGGGGACCUUCGGGCCUCGCGCUCUCGGAGCGGCCGAUGUCCGAUUAGGCUAGUUGGUGGGGUAAAGGCCCACCAAGGCGACGAUCGGUAGCGGGUCUGAGAGGACGAUCCGCCACACUGGGACUGAGACACGGCCCAGACUCCUACGGGAGGCAGCAGUGGGGAAUCUUGGACAAUGGGCGCAAGCCUGAUCCAGCAAUGCCGCGUGGGUGAAGAAGGCCUUCGGGUUGUAAAGCCCUUUCGGCGGGGAAGAAAUCGGUCAGGUGAAUAGUCUGGCCGGAUGACGGUACCCGCAGAAGAAGCACCGGCUAACUACGUG
rnacentral:rRNA from 1 species